rnacentral:rRNA from 1 species
AAACCGCAUGGUUUUGAUUUGAAAGGCGCUUUCGGGUGUCGCUGAUGGAUGGACCCGCGGUGCAUUAGCUAGUUGGUGAGGUAACGGCUCACCAAGGCCACGAUGCAUAGCCGACCUGAGAGGGUGAUCGGCCACAUUGGGACUGAGACACGGCCCAAACUCCUACGGGAGGCAGCAGUAGGGAAUCUUCGGCAAUGGACGAAAGUCUGACCGAGCAACGCCGCGUGAGUGAAGAAGGUUUUCGGAUCGUAAAACUCUGUUGUUAGAGAAGAACAAGGAUGAGAGUAACUGUUCAUCCCUUGACGGUAUCUAACCAGAAAGCCACGGCUAACUACGUGCCAGCAGCCGCGGUAAUACGUAGGUGGCAAGCGUUGUCCGGAUUUAUUGGGCGUAAAGCGAGCGCAGGCGGUUUCUUAAGUCUGAUGUGAAAGCCCCCGGCUCAACCGGGGAGGGUCAUUGGAAACUGGGAGACUUGAGUGCAGAAGAGGAGAGUGGAAUUCCAUGUGUAGCGGUGAAAUGCGUAGAUAUAUGGAGGAACACCAGUGGCGAAGGCGGCUCUCUGGUCUGUAACUGACGCUGAGGCUCGAAAGCGUGGGGAGCAAACAGGAUUAGAUACCCUGGUAGUCCACGCCGUAAACGAUGAGUGCUAAGUGUUGGAGGGUUUCCGCCCUUCAGUGCUGCAGCUAACGCAUUAAGCACUCCGCCUGGGGAGUACGACCGCAAGGUUGAAACUCAAAGGAAUUGACGGGGGCCCGCACAAGCGGUGGAGCAUGUGGUUUAAUUCGAAGCAACGCGAAGAACCUUACCAGGUCUUGACAUCCUUUGACCACUCUAGAGAUAGAGCUUCCCCUUCGGGGGCAAAGUGACAGGUGGUGCAUGGUUGUCGUCAGCUCGUGUCGUGAGAUGUUGGGUUAAGUCCCGCAACGAGCGCAACCCUUAUUGUUAGUUGCCAUCAUUCAGUUGGGCACUCUAGCAAGACUGCCGGUGACAAACCGGAGGAAGGUGGGGAUGACGUCAAAUCAUCAUGCCCCUUAUGACCUGGGCUACACACGUGCUACAAUGGGAAGUACAACGAGUUGCGAAGUCGCGAGGCUAAGCUAAUCUCUUAAAGCUUCUCUCAGUUCGGAUUGCAGGCUGCAACUCGCCUGCAUGAAG